CCAAAGGUUUUUUUUAAAACCACUUUCAAUAUUUAAUGAUACCUUG
rfam:Callithrix jacchus chromosome 9, whole genome shotgun sequence